CUUCUUUCUCCCUCCUUCAGCGUUUUCUUUUCCUCUUUCUUCUUCAGCGUUUUCUUUUCUUUCUCUCUCAAAAUUCUCUCGUUCUCUUCUCUCUCUCAAAACUCUCGUUCUCUUCUCUCUCUCACCUCCCUUCACCACGCCGCUGGUCUGCUGCUCCCCACCGUGAUAUUUCGCUGCCGUCGCUCCGCCACCGUGCUAUUUCGCUGUCGUUGCUCCGCCACGGCCUUGUGCCGGCCGUCGUUGCUCCUCCCACCGCCAUCCACUUCAGCUUUUUAAGGAUGAUGAAGAAUCCGUGUUACGGAGAGAGAAAGAAAUAGAUAAAAUUAGUAUAGAAGGCAUUUCUUUUGAUGGAAAGGUUUAAUAGUUUUUGCCAUAGGUUGGUGUGAAUUCUUGUUUCGUUUAAAUAAUUUUUUUUACGAUCUUUGUCAUGAAUUUUUAUUUAUGAUUGGUUCUUUUUUUUCCAGUAAGAGCACGGGUAAUGCAAUUGCAGAAUAUUUUUCCAGAUCGGAACUUGGCUGUACUUGUUUCAGUGUAGGAGAGAUUUGCGUUAUCAAGUCAUAUAUAGUCACACGGGAUCGAACCGAGCCUGCUUUUAGUGUUCUAGUUUCGAUAGAUCGGAGUUGUCGGGUUGAAAAGUGAGAUUUGAAGCUAUAAAUUCAAAUUAUACUA